rnacentral:rRNA from 1 species
GACGAACGCUGGCGGCGUGCUUAACACAUGCAAGUCGAACGGAAAGGCCCUGCUUUUGUGGGGUGCUCGAGUGGCGAACGGGUGAGUCACACGUGAGUAACCUGCCCUUGACUUUGGGAUAACUUCAGGAAACUGGGGCUAAUACCGGAUAGGAGCUCCUGCUGCAUGGGGGGGGUUGGAAAGUUUCGGCGGUUGGGGAUGGACUCGCGGCUUAUCAGCUUGUUGGUGGGGUAGUGGCUUACCAAGGCUUUGACGGGUAGCCGGCCUGAGAGGGUGACCGGCCACAUUGGGACUGAGAUACGGCCCAGACUCCUACGGGAGGCAGCAGUGGGGAAUAUUGCACAAUGGGCGGAAGCCUGAUGCAGCAACGCCGCGUGCGGGAUGACGGCCUGCGGGUUGUAAACCGCUUUCGCCUGUGACGAAGCGUGAGUGACGGUAAUGGGUAAAGAAGCACCGGCUAACUACGUG